AGACCCCCACAACUUUUGAAUCACUUCACGCUUCACUACCUUCUUCUUUACGAAAAAUUAGGGUUGCUUCCCGAUUUUUCUUGUCUCUACUCACGUACCUUAGGAAUCAAAAACCUCUAUCUUCAAACGGCAUGUUCUUCUUCUCUUUUGCCCUUUCUCUGUUCAUAUUUUUGUAUUUAAUUCCAACCGUUCUGUUUUUUUUUUUUUUUGGAGAUUUGCAGAGGAUGAAGGUUGUUGCGGCCUAUAUGUUGGCUGUUUUGGGCAAAAGUAUUCACCCUUCCAUUGAUGAAAUUAAAGUCAUUCUUGGCUCUGGUUGUUGAGAAUAGAAUGUAAACGAAAAAAUCUUCACAAGAUAAGUCUGAAGUGGAGAAUGAAUGAUAAAAAAGAAAAUUAUGAGAUGUUUUUCUUUUGAGGAUUUUUGCACUUUGAUGUUAGACUUUGUGUUUUUUAUUGAUAACAUACUAAACAAUGAUGUAUAUAAUUGUUAUCUUAUAUUCCAGGUUAAACUUUCAUACUAUCAUGUAGUUUCUUAUCGAUAAUGUAUCCAACUGUAAAGCCACUAUGAAUGAUUACCAAACUUUUCUGUAUUGCAUAUCUAUCAUUAUUAUAUCACAUGCCUA